rnacentral:lncRNA from 1 species
UGAAUCAUCAUGGAGAUGGUGAUUGAUCCGAUUAGAUUGGUGAAUGGAUCACUUUUCUUAAGAUAGACGAAUCUUGAGUCUACAGUGUGGAGAUACUAGAGCAAGAGUGCAUGUGUUUAUUAGAGAACAAAGAUAUCGAACAUGAUCAAUAUGAGAAGUCACUUUGAUGUCUACUCAUUCGUCAGUGACUUUCUCGAUGCUGUAGUAGUGUGAGUGAUUCUUUGACCUAUG